GACGAACGCUGGCGGCGUGCUUAACACAUGCAAGUCGAACGGAAAGGCCCUGCUUUUGUGGGGUGCUCGAGUGGCGAACGGGUGAGUAACACGUGAGUAACCUGCCCUUGACUUUGGGAUAACUUCAGGAAACUGGGGCUAAUACCGGAUAGGAGCUCCUGCUGCAUGGUGGGGGUUGGAAAGUUUCGGCGGUUGUGGAUGGAUUCGCGGCUUAUCAGCUUGUUGGUGGGGUAGUGGCUUACCAAGGCUUUGACGGGUAGCCGGCCUGAGAGGGUGACCGGCCACAUUGGGACUGCGAGAGGGCCCAGACUCCUACGGGAGGCAGCAGUGGGGAGUAUUGCACAAUGGGCGGAAGCCUGAGGCAGCAACGCCGCGUGCGGGAUGACGGGCUUCGGGUUGUAAACCGCUUUCGCCUGUGACGAAGCGUGAGUGACGGUAAUGGGUAAAGAAGCACCGGCUAACUACGUG
rnacentral:rRNA from 1 species